rnacentral:misc_RNA from 1 species
GAAUAAGGAAAAGGAAAUUCAGUUAUCAAAAUUAUUCAUAAUAUUACCAGUUCAACAAGUAGUACCUUUAAAUAAAAAUAUAUUAAAUUAAACCACCAAAAAUAGUUCUCUAACAUAGUAAAGAGAAUUAAAAGUAACCAAAGUUGCUCAUUCAAGCAUUGCUGGGUCACCAAAGAAAUUAAAAAGAACCAAUUAGAAAGCAUCUAAACCUGGAAAUCCAUAUGCGAUUAAGAUUGACAUGCUGCAUAUUGUAUAUUUCCUACCUGAGAAUCCCAGAUUUAUCAUCAAAGCCAAAGCCAAGUUCUGUAAGACUCAUUUUUCCCUGAUAAAGAUCCAACAAUUGAGGCAACUGUUCUUGAUGCUUGAUCACAAAACUUUCCAAGAAGUUCUUUUCAGAAGGUAUCAACACCGAAGAUAAAUGGAAGUCAGCCUUAAUCAAACCCUUUAAAAGCAAAACUCUUACAACUGAACAUCUUGGCAUAAUCCUCCUCUCCAGACUAAAACAAAGCACAAUUGGAACUCUAGCAACAGCAGCAGCCUGCCAACCCAUCAAGAAAAUUCAUUACGCCAGUGACCUUCUUCUCAGACAAAGACAUACAUUUGGGAUGCUUUCUGAACAUCGACCAAAUCUCAUCUUCAGACAAACCGAACCUCCCAUAAACCUCCAUUUUGUGUUCCCAUGUUUUGUGCGACAUCGAAUGAAAAACAUGGACAGCAAUAACAAAUAUAACUUUUGACGGGUCAAAUCCUAGAUUCAUAACCUUCUUGACCACUUCAGCAAACUUUCCUACUUUUUGGCACAUGACUGAGGGACUUUGGGUGACCAAGUAAGAGAUGGAAGAUUGAGAGAUUCCAAGCCCUCUUAAGAAUGAUAAAUUGUUAGAAAAUGUUUUCUGAAAAAAGUACAAAGAUCUGUUUUCCAUGCGAUUCAGGGUCUUAACUACUUUCUCAUCCAAAAUAAGAACACUUUUAAGGAUUUCAUAAAUUGGGAUCAGACACCGCUCUAAACUUCGAACCAACAAAUCUGGAUUCCUAGAAACAAAUAUAGGAAGGCCUGAUCUUGAAACCCCUAUAGAACGCAGAAACUCAAACUUGGGCAUGAGAGUAUUUUUUGGAUGCGCUAAAAGCACCUGGGGCCGACUCUUAACAAUUGUGGAGAUGUGGGAAUCGGUGAAUCCAUGUUCCCUGAGAAGCCUAAGUACUGAGUCUGGUCUUUCAGGGGUUUCAAAACGUAUCCUCUUAUUCUUAGAGAUAGAUUGAGCAGAUUUUAGGGUUAAUCCACAUGAAUUCAUGAGAAAGGAAACUGUAACUGUGUGGUCAUUCAAAUUAAAAGAUACCCCAGAUGAUAAGGAUCUGAUUACGAAUAAUGAGCGAAUAGAAAGAAUAACCAGUUGGACAUUUGAGACAAACAGAAAAACACUCUUAUUCAAAGCUAAUC